GAGAACACACUGGCGCUGCUGCGCUCCACAGGACUGCUGCUCACAGGGAAAACAGAGACAGAGAUGGAGAAGGAGACUCCUGAGUUCAUCAAGAAACACCUUGAUCCAGCCUUGCUUGGAACGUUGGGGUAGAUGAACAACAGGAGAAUGGACAAGACAUCAUAAAGGCGGUAAUCAUGCUUCCUUCGGCCAGAAACGGUCCCCAUCCCAUCUAUUGAUGA
rnacentral:lncRNA from 1 species